rnacentral:rRNA from 1 species
ACUGAACGCUGGCGGCAUGCUUUACACAUGCAAGUCGAACAGUAGGGUAGCAAUACCUGAGAGUGGCGAACGGGUGAGUAAUGCAUCGGAACAUGCCUAUUAGUGGGGGAUAGCCCGGCGAAAGCCGGAUUAAUACCGCAUACGAUCUAAGGAUGAAAGCAGGGGACCGCAAGGCCUUGCGCUAAUGGAGUGGCCGAUGUCAGAUUAGCUAGUUGGUGGGGUAAAGGCUCACCAAGGCGACGAUCUGUAGCUGGUUUGAGAGAACGACCAGCCACACUGGGACUGAGACACGGCCCAGACUCCUACGGGAGGCAGCAGUGGGGAAUUUUGGGCAAUGGGCGCAAGCCUGAUCCAGCAAUGCCGCGUGCAGGAUGAAGGCCUCGGUUGUAACUGCUUUGUACGGUACG